rnacentral:rRNA from 1 species
AACGCUAGCUACAGGCUUAACACAUGCAAGUCGAGGGGUUUGCUUCGGCAAACGACCGGCGCACGGGUGAGUAACGCGUAUCCAACCUGCCAUCCAUUUUGGUAUAGCCCUCCGAAAGGAGGAUUAAUCCCGAAUAAUGUACCGUGAUCUCAUGAACUCGGUAUGAAAGCUCCGGCGAUGGAUGAUGGGGAUGCGUUCCAUUAGGUAGAUGGCGGGGUAACGGCCCACCAUGCCCACGAUGUCUAGGGGUUCUGAGAGGAAGGUCCCCCACACUGGAACUGAGACACGGUCCAGACUCCUACGGGAGGCAGCAGUGAGGAAUAUUGGUCAAUGGCCGGAAGGCUGAACCAGCCAAGUAGCGUGAAGGAUGAAGGUUCUAUGGAUUGUAAACUUCUUUUAUACGGGAAUAAAACCUCCCACGUGUGGGAGCUUGUAUGUACCGUAUGAAUAAGCAUCGGCUAACUCCGUGCCAGCAGCCGCGGUAAUACGGAGGAUGCGAGCGUUAUCCGGAUUUAUUGGGUUUAAAGGGAGCGUAGGCGGGAUAUUAAGUCAGUCGUCAAAGCCUGUGGCUCAACCACAGCCCGCGAUUGAUACUGGUAACCUUGAGUGCGGAUGAGGUGGAUGGAAUUCGUGGUGUAGCGGUGAAAUGCUUAGACAUCACGAAGAACUCCGAUUG